AGUCGAACGAAGUAGCAAUACUUAGUGGCAGACGGGUGAGUAACAUGUAGGUAUCUACCCUUUGGCCUGGAAUAACACGAGGAAACUUGUGCUAAUACCGGAUAAGUCUUUACGGAGAAAGCUUUAUGCACCAUUGGAUGAGCCUGCACUUGAUUAGUUUGUUGGUGGGGUAAUGGCCUACCAAGACUGUGAUCAAUAGCUGAUUUGAGAGGAUGAUCAGCCACAUUGGGACUGAGACACGGCCCAAACUCCUACGGGAGGCAGCAGUGGGGAAUCUUGCACAAUGGAGGAAACUCUGAUGCAGCGAUGCCGCGUGAGUGAAGAAGGCCUUUGGGUUGUAAAGCUCUUUCGUCGGGGAAGAAAAUGACUGUACCCGAAUAAGAAGGUCCGGCUAACUUCGUGCCAGCAGCCGCGGUAAUACGAAGGGACCUAGCGUAGUUCGGAAUUACUGGGCUUAAAGAGUUCGUAGGUGGUUGAAAAAGUUAGUGGUGAAAUCCCAGAGCUUAACUCUGGAACUGCCAUUAAAACUUUUCAGCUAGAGUAUGAUAGAGGAAAGCAGAAUUUCUAGUGUAGAGGUGAAAUUCGUAGAUAUUAGAAAGAAUACCAAUU
rnacentral:rRNA from 1 species